AUACGUAGGUGGCAAGCGUUAUCCGGAUUUACUGGGUGUAAAGGGCGCGUAGGCGGGGGUGCAAGUCAGAUGUGAAAUCUAUGGGCUUAACUCAUAAACUGCAUUUGAAACUGUAUCUCUUGAGUGCUGGAGAGGUAGACGGAAUUCCUUGUGUAGCGGUGAAAUGCGUAGAUAUAAGGAAGAACACCAGUGGCGAAGGCGGUCUACUGGACAGUAACUGACGCUGAGGCGCGAAAGCGUGGGGAGCAAACAGGAUUAGAUACCCUGGUAGUCCACGCUGUAAACGAUGAAUACUAGGUGUGGGGGGACUGACCCCCUCCGUGCCGCAGUUAACACAAUAAGUAUUCCACCUGGGGAGUACGGCCGCAAGGUUGAAACUCAAAUGAAUUGGCGGGG
rnacentral:rRNA from 1 species